rnacentral:rRNA from 1 species
AUUGAACGCUGGCGGCAGGCCUAACACAUGCAAGUCGAGCGAGCGGCGGACGGGUGAGUAAUGUAUGGGGAUCUGCCUGAUGGAGGGGGAUAACUACUGGAAACGGUAGCUAAUACCGCCUCCCAUCAGAUGAACCCAUGUGGGAUUAGCUUGUUGGUGAGGUAACGGCUCACCGAGGCGACGAUCCCUAGCUGGUCUGAGAGGAUGACCAGCCACACUGGGACUGAGACACGGCCCAGACUCCGACGGGAGGCAGCAGUGGGGAAUAUUGCGCAAUGGGGGCAAACCUGACGCAGCCAUGCCGCGUGAAUGAAGAAGGCCUUCGGGUUGUAAAGUUCUUUCGGUAGCGAGGCGUUAACUACAGAAGAAGCACCGGCUAACUCCGUGCCAGCAGCCGCGGUAAUAC